rnacentral:tRNA from 1 species
CGGUGAUUGGCGCAGCCUGGUAGCGCACUUCGUUCGGGACGAAGGGGUCGGAGCGAGUAAUCCUCUAUCACCGACCA